rnacentral:lncRNA from 1 species
ACGAAACUAACCACCAUCCUACAGAAGGCAAGGAACAGACGAGCCCAGUGUGGGAUUUGGAUUCUGUGCUAUUUCUAUUCCAAGGAAGUAACCAAUCCCAUAGAAGAGGAAAUAGCAGUGCCCUUGUGACUUACCAUCUCAGAAUUUGAACUGUUUCCUGAGAUUUAGCAGCUGUUUGAGCCCUGUUGGAACUGGGUUCAGAUUUCUCUAUAUCUGGUCUGACCACCGGUGGAGAAGGUGUGCUGUGUCCUCUUCUAGGUACUACGAGUCUCGUGGAUGCUAGAGAUUACCCAUUCACUUACAGGAAGAGGGUCAUGCAGCCCUGGGACCCGAAGGCCUGGCAUCGCAGGGCUUCUGAGACACUGAAGACACUUUGUUUCCACUUGGGGGAUGCUUCUGGAUGAGAGUGGAACCCUUGAAGUGACAAAGAAACCCCAACACAGUUCUUUAAAAAAAAAAAAAGUUUUUUGUUACAUUUAAUGUGUG